AGCUUUGUGCAGUAGCAGUAUCAUAUACAAUGAAGUUUAUCUGAGGUGAUUAUUGCUAAUUGAAAAAAACCCUGCCUUCCAGG
rnacentral:snRNA from 10 species